GACGAACCGUGCGAACGUUGUUCGGAAUCACUGGGCUUAAAGGGCGCGUAGGCGGGCUGCCAAGUCUGGGGUGAAAUCCCACGGCUCAACCGUGGAACUGCCUCGGAUACUGGCGGCCUCGAGGGGGGUAGGGGCGUGCGGAACUGUGGGUGGAGCGGUGAAAUGCGUUGAUAUCCACAGGAACUCCGGUGGCGAAGGCGGCACGCUGGACCUCUUCUGACGCUGAGGCGCGGAAAGCCCAGGGGAAGCCAAAGCGGGGAUUAAGAA
rnacentral:rRNA from 1 species